rnacentral:misc_RNA from 1 species
GUGUAAUCUGGGGUAUCAAGGGCGGAAUUCUGGAUGGCAAAUCAAGUGAACUUUCGUCGCCAGUCGAUCCAGAAGUUUCUGUUUGUUCGGAUUGUGUAAUCUGGGGUAUCAAGGGCGGAAUUCUGGAUGGCAAAUCAAAUGAACUGUCGUCGCCAGUCGAUCCAGAAGUUUCUGUGUGUCCGGAUUGUGUAAUCUGGGGUAUCAAGGGCGGAAUUCUGGAUGGCAAAUCGAAUGAACUUUCGUCGCCAGUCGAUCCAGAAGUUUCUGUUUGUCCGGAUUGUGUAAUCUGGGGUAUCAAGGGUGGGAUUCUGAAUGGCAAAUCAAGUGAACUUUCGUCGUCAGUCGAUUUAGAAGUUUCUGUUUGAACGUUCAGUGUAAUCUGGGGUAUCAAGGGCGGAAUUCUUGGUGGUACGUCGAAUGAACUUCCAUCGUCAGCCGUAGCUGAAUUUUGAGUUUCCAAAAUAAUUUCGGGUUGAGAAUUUUGAGGAAUCAACGGUGGAAUCUCAAAAGGGGAUUGAGAAGUUUCCAUUCGAUCAGUUGCAUCUGUUACUCCAGAUUGCGGAAUUUGAGGUA